AAAUUAUGAAGAGGACACUUCCUUAGAAGUUCUCCAAAUCGCUCCCACACAUUAAAUAGGGAUCCAAACUCAUACUGCUGAAAACUAAAAAUUUCUGCCAUAAGCUU